CCUCAUGGUGCAAGCGUUACUCGGAAUUACUGGGCGUAAAGCGUGCGUAGGUGGUUCGUUAAGUCUGCCGUGAAAGCCCCGGGCUCAACCUGGGAAUGGCGGUGGAUACUGGCGGACUAGAGUGCGGUAGAGGGUGGUGGAAUCCCCGGUGUAGCAGUGAAAUGCGUAGAGAUCGGGAGGAAGGCCGGUGGCGAAGGCGGCGCUCUGGAACGUUUCUGACGCUGAGGCUCGAAAGCGUGGGGAGCAAACAGGAU
rnacentral:rRNA from 1 species